CCCGACUGCGCAGCCGCGAUCCCGGAGGGAGCGCUCCAGGCCUGGCGCGCACCCGACCCCUUGCGCGUUCCGGCUCCGCGCGCCUGCCAGGCCGGGGCCGGCGGCGGAACAGCUUGGGACCCGAAACGCCUCGGCUUUUCUGCGGACCCGCGCCCGGCCGCUGCCGCCGGACGCUUGAAAAGAGGCAGAGUCUUGCUUUGUUGUCCAGGCUGGUCUUGAACUUCUGAGCUCAAGUGAUCCUCCCGCCUUGGCCUCCCAAAGUGCUGAGACUACAGGUA
rnacentral:lncRNA from 1 species